UUCAGCAGCCAUAUCACCCUGCAACUCACAACUGGCACUGAAGCUAAGCAGGUGUGAGGCUGGUCAGUACCUGGAUGGGAGACCUCCUGGGAAAAACUUUGGUUGCUGCUGGAA
rnacentral:rRNA from 1 species